rnacentral:rRNA from 1 species
GCAACCUGCCUUUAUCUUGGGAAUGGCCUUUCAAAAGGAAGAUUAAUGCCCCAUAAUAUUUAGAAUGGCAUCAUUUUAAAUUGGAAACUCCCGUGGAUAAAGAUGGGCACGCACACGAUUAGAUAGUUGGUAGGGUAACGGCCUACCGAGUCAACGAUCCUUAAGGGGCCUGAGAGGGUGAUCCCCCACCCUGGUACUGAGACACGGACCAGACUCCUACGGGAGGCAGCAGGGAGGAAUAUUGAACAAUGGGUGAGAGCCUGAUCCAUCCAUCCCGCGUGAAGGACGACGGCCCUAUGGGUUGUAAACUUCUUUUGUAUAGGGAUAAACCUACUCUCGUGAGAGUAGCUGAAGGUACUAUACAAAUAAGCACCGGCUAACUCCGUGCCAGCAGCCGCGGUAAUACGGAGGGUGCAAGCGUUAUCCGGAUUUAUUGGGUUUAAAGGGUCCGUAGGCUGAUUUGUAAGUCAGUGGUGAAAUCUCACAGCUUAACUGUGAAACUGCCAUUGAUACUGCAAGUCUUGAGUGUUGUUGAAGUAGCUGGAAUAAG